UAUAAAAAUGAUCAAUUUAUUUCUCUUUCUAUAAUUUCAACAAUUAGUUACCAUAAAUCAUUAUUUGUAAUAUUAUGUAAAUUAUUUUGUAAGUGAUAUUAAUUGGUUAUAGGCUUACCUUUUCUUUUGAGAUCUAAUUAAAAUAAAUAAAAAUUAAAAAUCACCGACCAAUUAAAUUAUAACAAUUUUGUAAGAGUUCACCUAUGAUCAUCAUGUUAACAAAAAUCACUAAAGUGACUUCUUAAUUAAUAUAUAGUAGGAUUACAUCUAGUUGUUAUAUAUUUAUAAAAAAGUCUUUUAUUUUUGAAAAAAGUCAUCUAGAUGUGAUUAAGAAAGAGGAAGGUUAUACUCGGAAAAGAAAAGAAAAGAAAAAAGAAACUCAAUAGGUAAGUCAUAUGAAAAUAUAUGAACUUUAGUUACUUUUUUCUUUUUGAUCAAAGAACUUUAGUUACUUCUGAUUCUGUGUUUCAUUGUAAAACGAUGCACAUUUUGGGGUUGUAGCGAUCAGCGUUUCUCACUUUCAAACUAGCACAACUGGUGAUAUUACACUACUAAAAGGGACAUAUCCUGUGUCCAGAGAAUGCCACGGCAUCAAAAAUAUUCGCCCAAUCAGAACCAGUUAAUCAUCCACGUCAGACGGGCUUCUCGUGCUGAUCCGUCCAGAGUCGACCCUGUAAUAAGGUGUGCUUUUUUUGGGCUUUCUCUGUUCUAUUUUCGGUCCGGUUUGGACUCAGCUCGCAGGAAUCGAAGUCGAGGGAUAUGAUUCUCCUCGCCGCUUUCGCUUCGUCUUCUCAGAAAGAAACAGAUCGAAGAGCAAAGAAACUGAUAAUUGAUCGAGCAAUUUACUUUCGUUUUGAUCAAUCAAUACAUUCUUAAUGGUUCCGUUCCAUCUCCCUCAUCCUCUCCUUCUUUAUAUACUUAGAUUCUUUCCUCCAUCAAACCAAAACCCUAGAAUCACUCAAACCUCAAGCCAUGACGAUGAACGAAAUGGAAAGUCCCCCGUCUCCUCCGAUUCUGAUGAGAAAGUCGUGUUCUUCAAUGAUGUCUCUUUAGGCCCCCAUGAAUCUCAGUUGCGAUUCCGACUCAUCCACUUCUGGGAGGCUCGGAACCCGGUGAAGAAGACAGUCAUUGGUCUGGAGAUGCUCCUUAUCGACGAACAGGUCUGGAGAUUCCUUCUUUAGCGAUUUGUUUUUUCACACCGAUUCUUAUUUCAUUUUAUUUCGUGAUUCAUAUUGAAAAUCAUAUUUGUUCUUAUUUCUAUUGACAACAGGGAACUGUCGUUCAAGGAUUCAUCCCACCGGAAAGAAUUAAGAAGUUCUUGCCUGACAUGAAACGUGGAUCUGUUUACAAACUCAUCAACUUCUACGGAUCGAAAAACAAGCCGAUGUAUCGGGUUUCUGACCAUGUCGCAACCAUCUCUUUCACAUGGAACUCUGAACUGAUCAGGCUUCACGACAUUCCCAUCCAUUUCGAUGAAGACCGUUUCAGGUUUCAUUCAUAUGAAGAUUUCAAAGCAAAUUGUGAUCUCAGAGGUGACCUCUAUGGUAAGCUCUUUAAUCUUACCAGUAAUCUCUUUGUUAAAUUGCUUUAUGCUUUGGUGUGGGUUCCUUCUUGCUUAGUUUUCUGUGACGUAACUGGUUAAAGUUUUUAUAGUUUUGGUUUGUCUUGAUCAUUUCUGAAGUUACUAAUAAUAUAUACACAUGUUGAUAGUUCAAGUUAAAGAGUUUUUGGUCUGCUUUGAUCAUUCUGUGAAUCACACUACUAAAAGAACAACAUGUUAAUUAGUUUUAGGUCAUUCGGUUUAUAAAGUUAGAUCCCUAUAAUUUUUAUUAUCCAUCUAAUUUAUACUCUUUAUGAACAAUGUGUUAGAUGUCCUUGGCCACAUGAAGCUGGUCAAUGGACAGACUCUUACUGAGCGUCCAACCCUUGACGAAUUGGAGAUAGCUACCACUCGGCACAUUUUGGUUCAUGUGCAAUCGCAUGAGUAAGUGUUUUUUUUGUUUAUUUUCAAUUGACUAUCUCUCGGCAGUUUCUAAAUCUGUACGUGUUUUUUCAGCGGCCCUGUGAUGAAGCUCUACCUUUGGGACCAGGCUGCAACAGAGUUCUGCCAGAAAUUCAAAACCUUUGAAAACACUCCAACAGUGAUUUUGGUCACGACUGUUAACCCCAAACGUCUCGGAGGUACCCUUGCCCUCACCUCUAUGUCCUCCACACGGGUGUUCAUGGACAAUGAUGUCCAACCAACCAUAGAGUAUUUCACCUGGUAUGUACUCAUGUAUUCAGCAUCUAUUCUUCCAAAAUUGUUGUGAAGCGCACGCUUACAUCUAUUGCAGUUGAUGACUGAUAAAUGGUUUAUAUUUUGUAUCAGGCUCGGCUGUAACCCAGACACUGCUAAUCAGGUUAGUGCAGAGGUGGUAACUAAGCGUGAGACGCUGUCUAUAGCGGACAUAUUCUCCUACAUCAAAAAGGACUCUGCAAAGGUAACAUUCAAGCUAAUAUUUCUUACUUAUUAUGAAAGCACCAAUGUUUAUAUGAAAUGCUUAUACACUGUCGCAGGAUGCCUUUUUUGAAUGCACGGCUACAAUUGAUGAUGUUGUUCAUGGCUCUGCUUGGUACUACAUUGCAUGCAGUGGGUGCCAUUCUACGAAAGGCCCAACAUCGAUGGUUUGUACAAACACAAAGUGUGAGAAGGUUAACACAACUGGUGUUGCACAGUAUGUAGUCUCCUCUGAAUAUUUAAAUACACUUUCACUGGUAUUUGCUUCUGUUUAUUACAUUUGUAACUUUUGCUUCUAAUUCUUUCUUCACAGGUACCGUGCAAAGAUAUCUGUUUAUGACAACAGUGAGCAAGCUGUUUUUGUCUUGCUUGGUGAUGCUGGUCGUUCUUUAACUGGGAAGCACGCAUCGGAGUUGCUGAGCAGCUACUUUGAGGCCAAUGGGGACAAAGGAGCUGAGGAUGAGGUGCCUGUCCCAGAAUCUCUAAUCAGCAUCAUCGGACAAACGCAUAGGUUUUGUGUGAAAGUGACUGAUCACAACUUCUCAGGCAACACCCGAGCUAUAACAGUCACCAAGGUCCUCUCUCAAGACAUCCCUCCACACACAGAAGCAUCGGUUGGAAACAACAAUGCUGCAUCACCCAAGGUAAUGAUGCUGACCAGAGACGAAGUGUCCGAACCCUCCAAAAGCCGUGGAGAUUGUGCAAAUGAAGAGAGUAAGAGGGGGUAUGACACUGCUGAUCCAGAGAAGGCUAAACGCCCAAGAUGUGAGAAUUAGAGCUUUGUUCAUCUUCUCAGAUGUUGCAAGGUCCACUAAAUUUCAAGUCUUUGCUUUUCAGUUUCAGAAUUGUUUUCUGGUUUCCUUUCAGUUUCUACAUUUCAGAGUUUUUUGCUUGCAGACAGUUUAAGAAUUGAUUUCUGGUUUCCAAAUAAUUAUGUUUUUAA